rnacentral:rRNA from 1 species
UACGUAGGGGGCUAGCGUUGUCCGGAAUUAUUGGGCGUAAAGAGCGUGUAGGCGGUUCGAUAAGUCUGCUGUAAAAGUCGGGGGCUCAACCCUCGAAGGCCGGUGGAUACUGUCGAGCUAGAGUACGGAAGAGGCGAGUGGAAUUCCUGGUGUAGCGGUGAAAUGCGCAGAUAUCAGGAGGAACACCAAUUGCGAAGGCAGCUCGCUGGGACGUAACUGACGCUGAGACGCGAAAGCGUGGGGAGCAAGCAGG